rnacentral:misc_RNA from 1 species
UGAUCUUCCAGAACUUCACUUGAUCUUAUGUUAUACUAUAUGUGGCUGAUGGUCUGCUUGGUGAUUCAGCUUCAGUGCGUUUUAUUUUUGGUGUUUGUGGUGUUCAAUGUUGCUCUACCAAGUCAAGGUUAUUGCAGCUUCUAUCUUUAAACCGUAAAAACCAAUGACUUUGUUGGUUGAAGAAUCCCUAGUUGAAUAUAGAUGAGGUUG